rnacentral:rRNA from 1 species
AUGCACGCUGGCGGCGUGCCUAAUCCAUGCAAGUCGAGCGAACGGACGAGAAGCUUGCUUUUCUGAUGUUAGCGGCGGACGGGUGAGUAACACGUGGAUAACCUACCUAUAAGACUGGGAUAACUUCGGGAAACCGGAGCUAAUACCGGAUAAUAUUUUGAACCGCAUGGUUCAAAAGUGAAAGACGGUCUUGCUGUCACUUAUAGAUGGAUCCGCGCUGCAUUAGCUAGUUGGUAAGGUAACGGCUUACCAAGGCAACGAUGCAUAGCCGACCUGAGAGGGUGAUCGGCCACACUGGAACUGAGACACGGUCCAGACUCCUACGGGAGGCAGCAGUAGGGAACCUUCCGCAAUGGGCGAAAGCCUGACGGAGCAACGCCGCGUGAGUGAUGAAGGUCUUCGGAUCGUAAAACUCUGUUAUUAGGGAAGAACAUAUGUGUAAGUAACUGUGCACAUCUUGACGGUACCUAAUCAGAAAGCCACGGCUAACUACGUG